rnacentral:misc_RNA from 1 species
AAAUGCGAUAAGUAAUGUGAAUUGCAGAAUUCCGUGAAUCAUCGAAUCUUUGAACGCACAUUGCGCCCUCUGGCAUUCCGGGGGGCAUGCCUGUCCGAGCGUCAUUACGCACCCUCAAGCCCGGCUUGUGUGAUGGGCCCUGGCGUCUCGUUCGCGAGACGGGCCCGAAAGGCAGCGGCGGCGUCGACCCAAUGAGCCCGAGCGUAUGGGGACUUUUGUCACACGUUUGCGGUGCGGACCGGCGCCUGCUUGACUUUUCUGAUUAUCCAGGUUGACCUCGGAUCAGGUAGGGAUACCCGCUGAACUUAAGC